AGAGACUUGAAACAACCUGCCCAAGGUCCCGCAGUUAGUAAGCAUUGGAAAUGGAAUUUGAACCCAAGCCAUAUGGUUCAGGAUUCUGUACUAUUAGACAAUGUGCUACACUGUCUAUGUGGGAUCUUGGGAAUUUUAAGAACUAUCGAAAUCAAACCUCACCUGGGGACUCAAAGCAUUGUGGACAGAAUGUGUUAGUUUUUUGCAAACGACAAGACAUGCACCAAAUGCAACAUAAACACAAAUAACCAAGCAGAUGGAGUUUAUGAGAAAAGAGAAGAAUGAUCCUGAGAGGAAAAUAAAGAUACUCAAGAGAAUGUGUGAGGCAUAUUAUGACUUAGUAGUAUAGAAGAACAAAAACUAGCAAAGCACACUGAAGGUAAUUUUAAAAUGU
rnacentral:lncRNA from 1 species